rnacentral:pre_miRNA from 1 species
AAUAAGGUUAUUUUUUAGUUUUUAGACAUAAUGGUUUGACUCGUCUUAUUUAAAAUUUUUUUACGAUUAAUAUUUUUAUUUUUACUAGACGAUAACAUAUGAACAGUAUUUUAUGCGUGACUAAUUUUUUUAUGUUUUUAUAUAAAUUUUUCAAAUAAGACGAGUGGCAAAGCAUUAGAAACAGAAAUAAAAAAAUGAUGUUAUU